GACGAACGCUGGCGGCGUGCCUAAUACAUGCAAGUAGGACGCAGUUGCGAACGGGUGAGUAACGCAUAGGUAAAUGCCUAUUAGAGGGGGAUAACUAUGGGAAACGAUAGCUAAUACCGCAUCCUCGUAGAUGGAACUGCGUUGUAUUAGCUAGUAGGUAGGGUAAUGGCCUACCUAGGCGACGAUACAUAGCCGACCUUAGAGUGUGAUCGGCAACACUGUGACUGAGACACGGCACAGACUCCUAAGGGAGGCAGCAAUAGGGAAUCGUCGGCAAUGGGGGGAACCCUGACCGAGCAACGCCGCGUGAGUGAAGAAGGUUUUCGGAUCGUAAAGCUCUGUUGUUAAGGAAGCGGUACUUAACCAGAAAGGGACGGCUAACUACGUGCCAGCCGCCGCGGUAAUAC
rnacentral:rRNA from 1 species